GAUGAACGCUGGCGGCGUGCCUAAUACAUGCAAGUCGAGCGAACGGACGAGAAGCUUGCUUUUCUGAUGUUAGCGGCGGACGGGUGAGUAACACGUGGAUAACCUACCUAUAAGACUGGGAUAACUUCGGGAAACCGGAGCUAAUACCGGAUAGUAUUUUGAACCGCAUGGUUCAAAAGUGAAAGACGGUCUUGCUGUCACUUAUAGAUGGAUCCGCGCUGCAUUAGCUAGUUGGUAAGGUAACGGCUUACCAAGGCAACGAUGCAUAGCCGACCUGAGAGGGUGAUCGGCCACACUGGAACUGAGACACGGUCCAGACUCCUACGGGAGGCAGCAGUAGGGAAUCUUCCGCAAAGGGCGAAAGCCUGACGGAGCAACGCCGCGUGAGUGAUGAAGGUCUUCGGAUCGUAAAACUCUGUUAUUAGGGAAGAACAUAUGUGUAAGUAACUGUGCACAUCUUGACGGUACCUAAUCAGAAAGCCACGGCUAACUACGUG
rnacentral:rRNA from 1 species